AGAGUUUGAUCCUGGCUCAGAUUGAACGCUGGCGGUAUGCUUAACACAUGCAAGUCGAACGGAAACGAAACUAGCUUGCUAGUAGGCGUCGAGUGGCGGACGGGUGAGUAACGCGUAGGAAUCUGCCUGAUAGUGGGGGAUAGCCCGAAGAAAUUCGGAUUAAUACCGCAUAAUCUAUUCGUAGUAAAGUGGGGGACUUUCGAGCCUCACGCUAUCAGAUGAGCCUGCGUAAGAUUAGCUUGUUGGUAGGGUAAAAGCCUACCAAGGCAACGAUCUUUAGCUGGUCUGAGAGGAUGAUCAGCCACAUCGGGACUGAGACACGGCCCGAACUCCUACGGGAGGCAGCAGUGGGGAAUAUUGGACAAUGGGGGCAACCCUGAUCCAGCAAUACCGCGUGUGUGAAGAAGGCCUGAGGGUUGUAAAGCACUUUCAAUUGUGAAGAAAAGUCAACGGUUAAUAACCGUUGACCUUGACGUUAACUUUAGAAGAAGCACCGGCUAACUCCGUGCCAGCAGCCGCGGUAAUACGGAGGGUGCAAGCGUUAAUCGGAAUUACUGGGCGUAAAGCGUGCGUAGGCGGUUUAUUAAGUCAGAUGUGAAAGCCCCGGGCUUAACCUGGGAACUGCAUUUGAAACUGGUCAACUAGAGUAUGGUAGAGGAAAGUGGAAUUUCUGGUGUAGCGGUGAAAUGCGUAGAUAUCAGAAGGAACAUCAAUGGCGAAGGCAGCUUUCUGGACCAAUACUGACGCUGAGGUACGAAAGCGUGGGUAGCAAACAGGAUUAGAUACCCUGGUAGUCCACGCCGUAAACGAUGAUAACUAGCCGUUGGGGGGAUUUACCCCUUAGUGGCGAAGCUAACGCGUUAAGUUAUCCGCCUGGGGAGUACGGCCGCAAGGCUAAAACUCAAAGGAAUUGACGGGGACCCGCACAAGCGGUGGAGCAUGUGGUUUAAUUCGAUGCAACGCGAAGAACCUUACCUGGUCUUGACAUCCUGCGAACUUUCUAGAAAUAGAUUGGUGCCUUCGGGAACGCAGUGACAGGUGCUGCAUGGCUGUCGUCAGCUCGUGUCGUGAGAUGUUGGGUUAAGUCCCGUAACGAGCGCAACCCCUAUCCUUAUUUGCCAGCACAUUAUGGUGGGAACUAUAAGGAGACUGCCGGUGAUAAACCGGAGGAAGGCGGGGACGACGUCAAGUCAUCAUGGCCCUUACGACCAGGGCUACACACGUGCUACAAUGGGAAGGACAAAGAGCCGCGAAGCCGCGAGGUGUAGCUAAUCUCAUAAAUCUUUUCGUAGUCCGGAUUGGAGUCUGCAACUCGACUCCAUGAAGUCGGAAUCGCUAGUAAUCGUAGAUCAGAAUGCUACGGUGAAUACGUUCCCGGGUCUUGUACACACCGCCCGUCAUACCAUGGGAGUGGGUUGCACCAGAAGUGGCUAGUCUAACUUUGUGAGGACGGUCACCACGGUGUGAUUCAUGACUGGGGUAAAGUCGUAACAAGGUAACC
rnacentral:rRNA from 1 species